rnacentral:rRNA from 1 species
CAUGGUAGAAGAUAUAACUUUCAUGCCGUCGAACUCGCUAAACAAGUUAGCAGGGAUAUUACCACUAAGGAUUUCAACAGCAUCCUUAUCCCAGAACAAGUUCGUCUUAGCGCUGGCAUCACUGUUAACACGCUCUACAGUGGCUCCGUUUAGAAUCACAGUAUCGAUGUUAGCAUACUUAGCUUCUAACAGAGACAGAGCACCGUCAUCAGCAGCGAUAGGCUUAGGAUAUACCGUAAUGCUAGUGCCUGUAGGCUUAGCAACAAUAGUAAAUAACUUAGCCUGACCUGUAUCAGUUUGGU